ensembl:lncRNA
GGAAAGGAGGCUCAGGGACCUUCCCGCUCUCCACAGCUCCCGGAGAGGGGCUGCGGCCGGGCGGCGGCGGCUCUCUUCUCCGAGAUAACCAUCAACAAUACGGGGAAAUGGAGUCAAGAUGCACCAGGGGAGGUUUAACUUUGGAUACUUGGAAAAAUUUCUUCACUGUCUGGCUGCCCAGGGCAGUGUUUGGGUCACCACCGCUGAAGGUCUUUAAAAGACACGUGGAUGCGGCACUUGGGGACACGGUUUAGUGACGGACAUGGCUGUGCUGGAUGAACGACUGGACUCGGUGGUCUCACAGGUCCUUUGCCAGGCCUGAAGACCCCGUGAUUCCAUGGAAUGCCCCGCUCCCUGGAAAUUCGUUCUGUGGGCGCCGAAAAUACGGCGAAGAGCAACGGCGACAUCCAGCGGCGGCACGGGGCGCCUCGCAGGCCGGGCCCGCCGCGGGAGCGCCGCGCCGAGCGGCCAUCCAGGGAGUUCUCUAAAGGAUCAUGAAGGCGGGACAAAACAGCCAGGAUCAAGUGACAACUCAAGGACUGGUGUCAAAGGAGGCUAUGGGAAUGCACAUGGAAUUUUUGCUGUGAGCUAUGAGCUCCAUGGGGUGGACAGCAGAGGCAAACACAUUUCUACUGUCCCCAGGUGA